UUGUGGGGAAGGUGAAGACCUGGCUGCUAGCCAGCCAAACUCUGUAGAAGUUGCCCUUGGAGACGCCCCCUUCUCUUCCAGCGGUCUCCUGCAUCGUGGCAGAGUGGAGUGGCUGGAGUCGCUGUGCCAAGCCCUGCCAGGUCUCUUACCGCGUCCACCAGAGGCAUGUCCUGCAGGAUCCGAGGAACGGGGGUGCUCCCUACCCCCCGCUGGAAGAGCGGGCUGGCUGCGUGGAGUACUGGAGCUGCCAGGGAGUGGAGUGCCAACAGUCCUUGCUCCCUGCUCUGAUAACCACAGGCAGCUGCGGGAAAGAGCGGAAAAAGCGAGGUGUCCCCAAGGAGCAGGAGACGGUAGGGUACUGUGUCCAGUUCCGGCUGGGGCCCAUUCCAGGGAGCUGCCAGCAGGUGAGGGCGUCCCAUACCCAGUGGACAAGGUAUCUGACCCAGGGCCACACGGUUUGUGUGAGGUGUGAGUGGCCUGCCCAGGACGCCAGGAGCUGGCGCUGCUACGGGGACGGCGGUGGGGCCGAAG